AAUGAACGCUGGCGGCAGGCCUAACACAUGCAAGUCGAACGGAUCCUUCGGGAUUAGUGGCGGACGGGUGAGUAACGCGUGGGAACAUACGCUUUGGUACGGAAUAGCCUCGGGAAACGGGGGGUAAUACCGUAUGUGGUCGAGAGACGAAAGAUUUAUCGCCAAAGGAUUGGCCCGCGUUGGAUUAGGUAGUUGGUGGGGUAAUGGCCUACCAAGCCGACGAUCCAUAGCUGGUUUGAGAGGAUGAUCAGCCACACUGGGACUGAGACACGGCCCAGACUCCUACGGGAGGCAGCAGUGGGGAAUCUUAGACAAUGGGGGAAACCCUGAUCUAGCCGUGCCGCGUGAUCGAUGAAGGCCUUAGGGUUGUAAAGAUCUUUCAGGUGGGAAGAUAAUGACUGUACCACCAGAAGAAGCCCCGGCUAACUCCGUGCCAGCCGCCGCCGUAA
rnacentral:rRNA from 1 species